rnacentral:lncRNA from 1 species
UUGUAUUAUACUAUAAAUAUUAUAUUAUAUUACAUUAAUAUUAUACUAUAUCAUAUAUUUAUGUAUUAAUAUAUAUUAUAUUUUAUCAUGCUCUGUUGUAUAGUACUAUGCAAUGUCCUUUACGGUAAUUUUAUCAUACAAAAGUACUUUUUUCAGUUUGUUUAUCACAUGUUAAAGUGCCAUAAUAUUUUAGAAAUGUAGUUAUCAAACAGCAAAUAGCUUUUUAUAAAAGCUCUACUUUAGAAAGAUCUACUUCUAACAGCUCUACUUCCAAAAGCUCUAUUAC